GACGAACGCUGGCGGCGUGCUUAACACAUGCAAGUCGAACGGAAAGGCCCUGCUUUUGUGGGGUGCUCGAGUGGCGAAGGGGUGAGUAAAACGUGAGUAACCUGCCCUUGACUUUGGGAUAACAUCAGGAAACUGGGGAUAAUACCGGAUAGGAGCUCCUGCUGCAUGGUGGGGGUUGGAAAGUUUCGGCGGUUGUGGAUGGACUCGCGGCUUAUCAGCUUGUUGGUGGGGUAGUGACGUACCAAGGCUUUGACGGGUAGCCGGCCUGAGAGGGUGACCGGCGACAUUGGGACUACGGUACGGCGCAGACUCCUACGUUAGGCAGUAGUGGGGAAUAUUGCACAGUAGGCCGAAGCCUGAUGCGGCAGCGCCGCGUGCGUGAUGACGGCCUUCGGGUGGUAAACCGCUUUCUCCGUUGACGAGGCGUGAUUGACGGUAAUGGGUAAAGAAGCACCGGCUAACUACGUG
rnacentral:rRNA from 1 species